AGGUUGCUGUGGGCGGAAUGUGUGGUGUAGCGGUGAAAUGCUUAGAGAUCACACAGAAUAUCGAUUGCGAAGGCAGCUCACAAAGCCUAAAUUGACGCUGAGGCACGAAAGUGUGGGGAUCGAACAGGAUUAGAUACCCUGGUAGUCCACACUGUAAACGAUGAUAACUCGCUGUCGGCGAUAUACAGUCGGUGGCCAAGCGAAAGCCAUAAGUUAUCCACCUGGGGAGUACGACCGCAAGGUUUAAACUC
rnacentral:rRNA from 1 species